UUGGUGAGGUAAUGGCUCACCAAGGCGACGACGGGUAGCCGGCCUGAGAGGGCGACCGGCCACACUGGGACUGAGACACGGCCCAGACUCCUACGGGAGGCAGCAGUGGGGAAUAUUGCACAAUGGGCGAAAGCCUGAUGCAGCGACGCCGCGUGAGGGAUGACGGCCUUCGGGUUGUAAACCUCUUUCAGCAGGGAAGAAGCGAAAGUGACGGUACCUGCAGAAGAAGCGCCGGCUAACUACGUGCCAGCAGCCGCGGUAAUACGUAGGGCGCAAGCGUUGUCCGGAAUUAUUGGGCGUAAAGAGCUCGUAGGCGGCUUGUCACGUCGGGUGUGAAAGCCCGGGGCUUAACCCCGGGUCUGCAUUCGAUACGGGCUAGCUAGAGUGUGGUAGGGGAGAUCGGAAUUCCUGGUGUAGCGGUGAAAUGCGCAGAUAUCAGGAGGAACACCGGUGGCGAAGGCGGAUCUCUGGGCCAUUACUGACGCCGAGGAGCGAAAGCGUGGGGAGCGAACAGGAUUAGACACCCUGGUAGUCCACGCCGUAAACGGUGGGAACUAGGUGUUGGCGACAUUCCACGUCGUCGGUGCCGCAGCUAACGCAUUAAGUUCCCCGCCUGGGGAGUACGG
rnacentral:rRNA from 1 species